rnacentral:rRNA from 1 species
GACGAACGCUGGCGGCGUGCUUAACACAUGCAAGUCGAACGGCAAGGCCCUGCUUUUGUGGGGUGCUCGAGUGGCGAACGGGUGAGUAACACGUGAGUAACCUGCCCUUGACUUUGGGAUAACUUCAGGAAACUGGGGCUAAUACCGGAUAGGAGCUCCUGCUGCAUGGUGGGGGUUGGAAAGUUUCGGCGGUUGGGGAUGGACUCGCGGCUUAGCAGCUUGUUGGUGGGGUAGUGGCUUACCAAGGCUUUGACGGGUAGCCGGCCUGAGAGGGUGACCGGCCACAGUGGGACUGGGAUACGGCCCGGACUCCUACGGGAGGCAGCAGUGGGGAAUAUUGCACGAUGGGCGGAAGCCGGAUGCAGCAACGCCGCGUGCGGGAUGACGGCCUUCGGGUUGUAAACCGCUUUCGCCUGUGACGAAGCGUGAGUGACGGUAAUGGGGAAAGAAGCACCGGCUAACUACGU